UACGAAGGGGGCUAGCGUUGCUCGGAAUCACUGGGCGUAAAGCGCACGUAGGCGGCUUCUUAAGUCAGGGGUGAAAUCCUGGAGCUCAACUCCAGAACUGCCUUUGAUACUGAGGAGCUUGAGUCCGGGAGAGGUGAGUGGAACUGCGAGUGUAGAGGUGAAAUUCGUAGAUAUUCGGAAGAACACCAGUGGCGAAGGCGACUUACUGGACAUGUAUUGACGCUGAGGUGCGAAAGCGUGGGGAGCAAACAGG
rnacentral:rRNA from 1 species